UACGUAGGGGGCGAGCGUUGUCCGGAUUUAUUGGGCGUAAAGAGCUCGUAGGCGGUUUGGCAAGUCGGGUGUGAAAACUCCGGGCUCAACUCGGAGACGCCACUCGAUACUGCCAUGACUCGAGUCCGGUAGGGGAGUGCGGAAUUCCUGGUGUAGCGGUGAAAUGCGCAGAUAUCGGGAGGAACACCGGUGGCGAAGGCGGCACUCUGGGCCGGUACUGACGCUGAGGAGCGAAAGCGUGGGGAGCGAACAGG
rnacentral:rRNA from 1 species